ensembl:lncRNA
CCUCGUCUCCCUGGCCACUGCCGCUAGGCUUGGCUGGCCUGUCUGCUCUGUGUAGUAGUUGGAAUCAAUCUCUCUCCCCAUCGCUCUCCUCUCUCUCUCUCUGUCUGUCUGUCUGUCUCCUUCUCUCUCUCUGUCUGUCUCUCUCCUUCUCUCUCUCUCUGUCUCAAUCUCUCUGUGUCUCUCUGUCUCUGUCUCUCUCUGUCUUUCUGUCCCUCUCGUUCUCUCUCUCACUGUCUCUCUCUGUCUCUAUCUGUGUUUGUGUGUCUCUCUGCCUCUCUGUCUCUCUCUCUGUCUCUCUGUCUCUCUCUGUCUCUCUCUCUCUGUCUCUGUCUCUCAUUCUCUCUCUCUCUGUCUCUGUCUCUCAUUCUCUCUCUGUCUCUGUCUCUCUGUCUCUCUCCUUCUCUCUCUCUCUGUCUCUGUCUCUCUGUCUCUCUCUCUGUCUCUCUCUCUCCUCUCUCUCUCUGUGUCUCUCUCUGUCUUUCUGUCCCUCUUGUUCUCUCUCUCACCAUCUCUCUCUGUCUCUGUCUCUCUCCUCUCUCUGUCUCAAUCUCUCUGUGUCUCUCUCUGUGUCUCUCUCUGUCUUUCUGUCCCUCUCUUUCUCUCUCUCACUGUCUCUCUCUGUCUCUGUCUCAAUCUGUGUGUGUGUGUCUCUCUGUCUCUCUGCCUCUCUGUCUCUAUCUCUGUCUCUCCCCUAACCUUCUGCCUGAGGAUCAAUGCUAAGUAUUCAUUCCAAAGCAGAAGAGCUUGGUAAGGGCUGUGCAGGUGGCGUUAAGAGACUUGCCCAGAGUCACACAGCUAGGAAAUGCCUGAGGGAAGAUUUGAACCCAGGACCUCCCAUCUCCAGGCCUGACUCUACUCACUGAGCAGUGCAGUCGCAGAAAGAGAAUGUAUUCAUGAAGUGUCCGGGGUGGGCGCUGGAGACCACCGUGGGCAGCUCCCUGGGCCCGCUCCCAUCCCUGGUUGGGACACGGGCUGUACUGCUGCAGCCAUUCAUCCACGGACUCCACAGAAGGACAGCGUGUGAAGGGCAUUGGCCAGCUGGCCCUUCUGACCGUGCUGCCGACAUCAAAAGGGGAUGAAUGAAAGGGAUGCCGCGGGGGGAGGAGACGCUUCAGAGGGGAACUCUUGGUGCCAUUAAGGGCCUCUGCGGGGCAGGAGGAGGCUCGGGGGCUUUUCUGCCUGGCCCUGGCAGGGAGCCUCCAGAGGAAGCUAUAAGAAGGCGAAGUUUGACGAAACACCAGGAAAACCAGGAGGCUGAAAGCCCCUGCAGAGGCCAGGGGGCGGCCUGGGGAGGUGGGGGGGCUUCCCUUCCCUGCCAACCUCCAGACCUCCCCACUCUCACAAAGGGUUUCCUCCAAGCUCCAGCCAUUCUGCUGCUCUGCAGCCCCUGAGCCCCCACCGAAGGGUUCUCACUUCAUCUGUCAGCCGGAAGACACGAUGGCUUCAAAGUAAAGGCAUUUCAUGAACCCACGUGGGCAGAAGAGAAGUUCCCUAUCAGCUGCGGGCUCUCGGCAGGAAGACUCGGCCCACGUGCGCAGCCUCCCAGGGAGCCUGGCAGGAGUCGCUGGCGGUUUCUGGUGAUGUCACUGGGGGACGUGGGCCGGCCUUUCCUUCACUGUCUCCACCAAAGGCUGGCUGCGCACCUGACUGGAGCCAGGCCUGGCAGAGCGUGCUGCCUGCUGCCCGGCACGCGGCUUCUUCCUCCGCUUCUGGCUUCUUG